CCUACGGGAGGCAGCAGUGAGGAAUAUUGGUCAAUGGACGAGAGUCUGAACCAGCCAAGUAGCGUGAAGGAUGACUGCCCUAUGGGUUGUAAACUUCUUUUAUAUGGGAAUAAAAGAGGGUAUGUAUCCCCGCUUGUAUGUACCACAUGAAUAAGGAUCGGCUAACUCCGUGCCAGCAGCCGAGGUAAUACGGAGGAUCCGAGCGUUAUCCGGAUGUAUUGGGUUUAAAGGGAGCGUAGGUGGAUUGGUAAGCCAGGUGUGAAAGUUUGCGGCUCAACCGUAGAAUUGCAGUUGAAACUGGCAGUCUUGAGUACAGUAGAGGUGGGCGGAAUUCGUGGUGUAGCGGUGAAAUGCGUAGAUAUCACGAAGAACUCCGAUUGCGAAGGCAGCUCACUGGACUGCAACUGACGCUGAUGCUCGAAAGUGUGGGUAUCAAACAGGAUUAGAUACCCCAGUAGUC
rnacentral:rRNA from 1 species